GAUGAAGAACGCAGCGAAAUGCGACAAGUAAUGUGAAUUGCAGAAUUCAGUGAAUCAUCGAAUCUUUGAACGCACAUUGCGCCCUUUGGUAUUCCAAAGGGCAUGCCUGUUCGAGCGUCAUUUGUACCCUCAAGCUUUGCUUGGUGUUGGGCGUCUUGUCUCUAGCUUUGCUGGAGACUCGCCUUAAAGUAAUUGGCAGCCGGCCUACUGGUUUCGGAGCGCAGCACAAGUCGCACUCUCUAUCAGCAAAGGUCUAGCAUCCAUUAAGCCUUUUUUUCAACUUUUGACCUCGGAUCAGGUAGGGAUACCCGCUGAACUUAAGCAUAUCAAUAAGCGGAGGA
rnacentral:misc_RNA from 1 species